CAAUAGCGUAUAUUAAAGUUGUUGCAGUUAAAAAGCUCGUAGUCGGAUUUGUGGUGUACGCCGGCGGCCCGUCGCAAGACGGAGCUUGCUUGCGUCGCCAUCCUUGGGUGGAUCCUGUGUGGCAUUCAGUUGUCGUGCAGGGGAUGCCCAUCGUUUACUGUGAAAAAAUUAGAGUGUUCAAAGCAGGCUUAUGCCGUUGAAUAUAUUAGCAUGGAAUAAUAAGAUAGGACCUUGGUACUAUUUUGUUGGUUUGCGCACCAAGGUAAUGAUUAAUAGGGACAGUUGGGGGUAUUCGUAUUCCAUUGUCAGAGGUGAAAUUCUUGGAUUUUUGGAAGACGAACUACUGCGAAAGCAUUUACCAAGGAUGUUUUCAUUA
rnacentral:rRNA from 1 species